GGAGGGUUGGAGGGGAGGAUGUGAGCCGAUUUCACGGUACAUUCAUGGAGUCCGUCCGCGCUGACGUCGUGUGGCCCCGAUACGUGCGGCGGGAAUAACGUGAGGCGAAACCGCUGUCAGCCCCCCCACCACCACCACCACCACCCCGGCGGCUCGGGACUGCCCGGACGCGGGGACCCGGUGUAAACAAAGACGCUCUCAUUCAGCCGGUUGGUCGUCGACGCCGCCCGGGCCGGCGGUGUACUCCGUGAAGUCUACUCACCGGUCGGCUGUUCUUACCUCCGCUCGGCUCGAACGAGGGACGGGUUAUUCCAGCUCUUUUUUCUCCCCCCCCGGUCGUCUGUCCGUUAACUUUUCACAGCCAUGGAUACGGUAAGUUCUUCCUCGGGUUGUACUUCGGCCGCCCGUAACCUCUCCGAGGCUUCAGCUUCGCGCUCUCCGCCGCCGCCGCCGCCGCG
ensembl:lncRNA